AUGGCCUGGACCCCUCUCCUGCUCCCCCUCCUCACUCUGUGUACAGGUUCUGUGUCUCCCUAUGAGGUGACACAGCUGCCCUCCAUGUCAGUGUCCCUAGGACAGAUGGCCAGGAUCAACUGCUCUGGUGACAAACUUGACAAAGAAUACAUCUACUGGUACCAGCAGAAAUCAGGCCAGGCCCCUGUGCUGGUGAUAUAUAAAGAUAGCCAGCGGCCCUUGGGGAUCCCUGAGCGGUUCUCUGGGUCCAGCUCAGGGAACAUGGCCACCCUGACCAUCAGCGGGGCCCAGGCUGCAGAUGAGGUGAAUUAUUACUGUGGCAGACGUGACGUCAGUGGUAGCAGCUGGCAGUGACUCACAGUGACACAGACAGAUGGGGAUGUGGGACAUGAACCUCCCCAGCCUCACUCUCACUCUCUGAGCUAAGACCAUGACCUUGGUCUCAACUCACUCAGUUCCUUGUCAGUGCAGCUCAGGGAGCUCAGAAAGCCUUCCAGUGAAUUGUUAUGUUCCCAGAAACAGAGUUUCAUUUGAAACGCAUUCAACUUCUAACAUUAAUUUAGUUACCUUCAAAAAGCAGCAGAUUGGUUUACUGGAUGGAAAAUGGGAUGGAAAAUGUGUCUAGUUGGCCUGGUGCCUG